rnacentral:rRNA from 1 species
CAGCGCCACGAGUGGCAAUCGCAUAUUGGGCCUAAAGCGUCCGUAGUCGGUAUUGCAAAUCUCUUGUGAAAUUGGGGAGCUCAACUCCUCAGCGUGCGAGAGACACUACAAUACUUGGAACCGGGAGGAGUAAGAGGUAUUCUGGGGGGAGCGGUAAAAUGUGAUAAUCCUCGGAGGACCACCUGUGGCGAAGGCGUCUUACUAGAACGGAUUCGACGAUGAGGGACGAAGGCUAGGGGAGCAAACCGGAUUAGAUACCCGAGUAGUCC